AAAAAAUGGGCACGACUUGGGCAGAAUUCAGCGCGCGCCGCGCAUAACGUAACACUCCGAUAACCCAAUUAGGUGUUAUCGCGUCAUUUAACUUCACGAGGACGAGGGAAUCAUCGGAAUCGCUCUCGAGAGAUCCACGCUGUUAGCGAAAUAAGUGCCGGACUGUUACCGAGAUGCUUCUUAAAGAUCGGACGAUUUAAUCUUUUUAAGUGACCGUCCGUGGUUCGUCAAGGACGCCGGUAGUGAAAGAGAAGAAGGAGGUUUCAAUUAAAGCAGCGUGUCUCGCAAAUUCGCGUAUUUGCCGCCCGUAUAAGCUCCACUUGUUAUCACAAAAGCGCGACCAGCAUUUGAAGCCUAUCUUUAGUUCCAUAAACCUAAGCGAUUCCCGCGAAAAAGAGCAGGCCUUGCUCGCACGUCCUAUUACGAGCGGAAUGAAUUGAGAUAGGACCUCAACCGGAGCGUUUCAGCUUUGAGCGUUUCACCACCGUAACGAAUGAGCUCGUAAAAUCUGCACCACGGUGUUAUCGAGCCUAUUGAGAGCUCCUCUUUGCGAGGAGACGAAAAUUUCCGAGAAAAUUUGUUUGGUUACGUAAUAAGAAUAAAAAUGUUUUAUUUUUUUGUAUGGGACAAAAA